rnacentral:rRNA from 1 species
AUGGCGCGUGGUGUAGUCAAGGUGAAAUUCCAUGAGGUGGUAAAGGAUGGAGACACAUGGGAGCUUAGCUUCCAUGGAUUUUGCAGCAUGCAGAGCUUGCCCACUCUCACAAAGGCUGGCCCAUGGGGUGGACAUGGUGGUUCAGGUACGGACUCAGAACAGCCAUGGCGCAUAGAAAGUAUGACCAUCGUCCAUGAGGGGACAAUUGCCAAGUAUUCAUGCACUUACGUUGACCUGUCCGGAAAGAGGCGCACCACGGGUUCUUGGGGUGGUGGUAAUGGUAUCCCCACAAAGGUUUGUUUUUCAUGCAUGUUUUGGUUCUGGGAUUGCUAA